UACGUAGGGGGCAAGCGUUGUCCGGAUUUAUUGGGCGUAAAGAGCGUGUAGGCGGCCAGGUAGGUCCGCUGUGAAAACUCGAGGCUCAACCUCGAGAUGUCGGCGGAAACCAUCUGGCUAGAGUCCGGAAGAGGAGAGUGGAAUUCCUGGUGUAGCGGUGGAAUGCGCAGAUAUCAGGAAGAACACCCGUGGCGAAGGCGGCUCUCUGGGACGGUACUGACGCUGAGACGCGAAAGCGUGGGGAGCGAACAGG
rnacentral:rRNA from 1 species